ensembl:lncRNA
CGUAGAGACGAGAGACCCGCGCGCCCUGCAGCAGCACCCUCCCGGCCCAGAGCCGGGCUGCCGGCAGGACUUCUGAAACGGAAACCUGGACCAGGGCCACCCCGGGCACAGGGAACGCGGCGGGCGAGGCGCAUCCUCGCCGCUCAGCCUCCGUCUCCCCGCAUCUCUCGGACGUCAACAAACCCUGACCACAAAGUGAAACUUUCCUGCCCCCCGCGGUCGCGCCGGGUCUCUGCCCUCUGCCUGGGACCGCGUCGCGGGGACAGGUGUGGGGCCGGGGCUGAGGAGGGGCCCCCGCCCCAGGGCCGGAGCUGGGACCCCAGGAUGACCUAAGGAACAAGGAUUCAGACCCAGACUCCACGGUGAAUUGACCUUAUUCACCUGUGAAUGAACAUCCAGGAGAAAACCAAACCCGAAUGGGCCAGGCUCUAACCAGAGGAGACCCCAAAACUGUGAUCUGCAUCAGAAAAUGAGCCAGCCAACCGGUUCCUGGCUCUGCCGGGUCUAGGGGUGCUUUAUUCAAGCGCUGGGUUCGCUCCCUGGUCAGCAAGUAUGAGGUGUUUGCAGAGGGUCUAGAAGAUGUGAAGUGAGAUUAGCCCGCAUUAGGGCUGUGCCAAACAGAAAGUGAGUGAUGCUGAAGAAAGUGGCCUCUUCUGCUCCAGCCCUCCCUCCUCCUCCCCAUCCCCUGGCUCUCCCACCUCUCCCGCCGCACCAGCUCCCUACCCUCAGCUUGUAAACAGUAUCAGGUCUCGCCCAACAAAAAUCAGUUCUACUCAAGAGAACUGGAAACAUGUCUAUAGUAAAACUUGUACACGAAUGUUCAUAGCAGCGUAUUCAGAAGGCCAAAAAAGGAAACAACUGAAUGUCCAUCGAUUGACAAAUGGAUAAGCAAAUUAUGGUCCAUCCAUACAAUGGAAUAGUAUUCUGCCAUAAAAAAAUAAUGAAUUCUGUUACAUGUUACAACAUGGAUAAACCUUAAAAACAUUGUAGUGCUCAAUGAAAGAAACCAGUCACAAAAACCCACAUAGUGUAUGAUUCUAUUUAUAUGAAAUGUCCAAAAUAGGCAAAUCCAUAGAGACAGUAGACUAAUGGUUGCCAGGGACUGGGAGGAGGGGGGAAUGAGGAGUGACUGCUUAAUGAGUACAAAGCCUCUUUGGGGGGUGAUUAAAAUGUUAAGGAAUUAGACAGUGGUGAUGUACCACCAUGAUGAUGACUGUACAACUUUGUGAAUAUAACAAAAAACCCCACAGAAUUGUAUACUUUAAAAGGUGAAUUUUAUGGCAUGUGAAUGAUAAUUUAAACCAAAAAUCCAAAUGACCAAAUAAUUAAAAACAAAACAAACAAACAAAAACCUCUCGACACUGUAUGCCCUCCAAGUUACCAUGCAGUUAACCAGCCCUUCUCAUCCAAGAUUCUUGCAAGGGUAGCCCACACAUUUUCACUCCCACUUACACAUUAGCUUCCUAGAAUGUGGCUUCUGCCUGCACCAGAGCUCAAAUCUGCUCUCUCCUUGAAAUUUUAUCCUGUGGCUUUCUAUGACCCCGCACAUUCCUGGUUCCCCUCCUCCUUCUGUUCUUUGUCUUUUG